rnacentral:lncRNA from 1 species
UUAAUCACGUUGUAAUUACUGACUGAUAGCAUGUUCAAUUAACUCAUCAAUCAUACACAGAUUGCCAUUAAAAACACAAUCACAUAAUACAUAACAUUCAGACUGAAUGUUCUGUAUACAGAUGUCAUGACAUCGGGUCUGACAUCUUGGAAAAAUCCUGCAUAAUCACAUUUUAAACAUCUAGCAGGUACAAGAUAUCUUAUGUUAAGACAUCACAUGUGACACCUUGUGAACACUCUUGGUUUUACCAAAAUUGCUGCCAACACUUAGAACCAAC